rnacentral:rRNA from 1 species
AUGGAGAAUCCUGGGAAGGACCACGAAGAUGCGCUCAAGGAUGUUGAAUUCAGGGAGCAACCCGGUCGUGUGGAUCUCAACCGGCUAUUGGAAAUAGCAAACACUGAGAAAGGCACUUUUCAAAUGCAGUCCUUUGUGAAGCAAUGGGAAUACAAGAGGGCCAACACUGCCCGGCUCCUGAAUGAAGAGCUCGGUCGUCUUUCCCAGCAGCGAAAAGAGAUUGAGCAAAAGAAGCAGCAAAUGCUAGAGGAGGGCGAACGUCACAAUGCCCUGAAGUGUUCGAGCCAAGAGAGUAGUGACCUUUCUCAUGACCAGGAGCUUGAAGAUGAUGCAGAGUAUGACACUGUUUCCUACUGGAAACGGCGAGCGCUGCGGUCGGAGAAAGCGCACGAGGCAGACCUGCAAAGGGAGCGUUCCUUGGAGGAGAAGCUGGAGGAGUAUAUGAAGAAAUUUCAGCCAGAAACACCGACCGAGGAAUUCUCUGCGAUGUUAAAACGGGCAGAUUAUUUCUUGCACCUGAUUCUACAAAGUGCUCCCAUUGUAAUUGCUCAUCAGGAUGCUGAGUUGCGAUACCGCUACAUAUUUAAUCACUUUCCGACACUUGCAGAUGAGGAUGUUAUUGGUAAAACAGAUCAUGAGAUAUUGUCAGAAGAGGGUAUAGACGAGAUGAAUAAGGUCAAGAGAGAGGUUAUGGCCAAGGGUAUACCUACUAAGAGAGAGUUUGUAUUUGAUACUCCAUUGUUUGGACCAAAGACUUUCGUGGUAUACAUUGAACCGGUCUUCACCAAGUCCGGGGAAACAAUUGGUGUGAAUUAUGUUGCAAUGGACAUCACAGAUCAGGUCAAAACAAGAGAGAAAAUGACAGAUAUAAGGGUGAGAGAAGCUGUUCAAAAAGCCAAGGAAACAGAGCAUAGCAAAUCACUUAAUAUUACAGAAGAAACAACACAGGCACAACAAAUGCUAGCCACAAUGUCACAUGAGAUCAGAUCUCCCCUUUCAGGAGUCCUUAGCAUUGCCAAAAUUCUCGCAACUACCAAACUGGAUCAAGAACAACAUCAGUUGCUUGAGGCUAUGUUAUCCUCUGGAAAUGCUGUGUUACAGUCGAUCAAUGACAUCCUUGGUCUCUCCAAAGUAGAGUCAGGAAUUAUGAAACUACAGCCUGCAAUAUUUAGACCAAGGGAAGUAGUUAAACAUGUACUCCAAAAUGCAUCGUCAUUUAUGAAGAAGGAAUUGACCCUUGAAGGGUGCAUAGAUGAUGAUGUUCCAUCAGAGGUCAUAGCUGAUGCGCAAAAGAUUCAGGAAAUUCUGACAAACUUGAUCAGUUUCAGCAAUGCAGUGAAGUUUACACAUGAAGGGAAGGUUGGGAUAAACUUUAAUAUUGUAGAUAAGCAGCAACUGGAAUGCAAAAUAGAACAUACAAGACCUCAUUCUGCAAGCCCAGUUAACACUGCAACAGAAUAUUAUGCUGCCUGGCCAAGCCAUAGUGAAAAGAUGCCUCGCGUUGCUCAAACCGUGAAGAUGCUCAUCAGAGUGGCAUUCCAUCAAAUGAAAAUUGUACGGAGGAAACUGUUUGGCUCGGCUUCGAUGUUUAUGACACUGGAAUGGGGAUACCAGAGAAGUCAUUACCGUUUCCGUUCAAGAGGUAUAUGGAUGCCAAUGAUGACCAUACAACAAAAUAUGGCGGGACAGGGCUUGGCCUUGCUGUCUGCAAGCAGUUGGUGGACUUGA